rnacentral:lncRNA from 1 species
GCCUUGUUCGGUUGGGCUGUUCCUGGCCGAGAUCGGGUCCCAAUCCCUGUGGAUCACCCCGGCGAGGAAAAAAUCCCAGCCCAUGUGAAAUUGUGCGUUCGGUUAAGCCCUGCCGUGAAUUUUAGCCCGGCCCACCACGGGGUUUCCCUCUUCUCUAGGACCGGGAAAAAAUCAUCUACUCCUGGGGUGUGGAAAAUUUCCUCGAGAGGAGGCGGCGGCGUAACGAAGACGCGACGGAGGGGGCGGCACGCGGCGCAACCCGGAGGCGACAGCGACGGCGACGGUGACGACAUGGCUCUCUCCUCCGGCCGCCACCUUCUCUCCGAGAUGGGAACACUGCAGCUAGGUGACUGAAGCUCAUGGUGGCAUUAGUGCUUAAACACUUGCAUUCAAUUUGUAGUUUAGCUCUUAGCUGGCUACUUCUAUUUAUUCUAAAAAAAACAACUGAACUGUUACUAUUUUUAUUACUUUGUGACACUUUCAUGUAUGUAUUUGUGAACGUACAGCAUGCAUGUGUGUUUUCCCUGUGCUAAAACAAUGUUUUUUUUACUGCGUCCUAUGGAUUUGAUCUGGGA